UUCUUGGAGACCUAAUUAGCGGCAACUACAGUCAAUUUCGCAUAGUGAGUGACCACUCUUCGAUCGCCUAAUAAUUGAAGAUGACGAACAUGAGGUGUCCCUUCUGGAGAAUCGAGAUGGAUGGUUAUAAUUUAAAAUUAAGAUUUAGUCCUCCAUAGUUGCAUCGAUCGCCUACUGUCUCAUCCGCUUCACUACUUCAGCGCUUCUCUUGCCCUCUCUCUCGAUCAUUUCUCUUAUAUUCUUCUUUCUUUCUAAAUCUUAUAUUCUACUUCUUUCUUUGUAUUGCUCUUAAUUUGUUAUUUUGUUGUGUUAAAGACUUAAAGUGAAGAUUUAAAGGUGCAAUACCGACAUACCGGGUCCUAAAUCCUAAUCCAAUGUGUUUUUAUUGAAUGCUAUUUGAGUGAAAUAUGCCCUUUUGGAGUUCAAGCAGCCAACAACUAAGUGUUUUAUUCCUUUUCUGGAGUUCCAACAACCCAGUAUGUGAAGAAAUGGUUGAAGUAAACAAGGCAAGACAAUUGGAUCAUGAAUCUCUUUUGAAGAAACAAAAGAGAAUAAAGAAUGUUCUUUAGCAAAGAAGCACGAGAAUGAACUCUCGAGGAAGGAAAAUGUUGCUAACAGGAAACAUGAAGUUGAUAACCAAAGAAGUCAAAUAGUACCCCAAAGAAUAUGAGGACCAAAUGCAGAUAAUUAGUCAUAUUUACUGCCUCUUUAUAUAAUGUUCAUAUUUAAUAAUCUAUGUACAUGGAUUUGAUUUUAAAUUCAGUAACUGAAGCUAAUUUAGUUAAAACCUGAAGCAAGACUGGAUGGCAGAUUCAAUUUGAACCCAUAACCAAUGAUGUUGUUCAUUCUUCGUAUUCGUGGGUCAGUGCUUAUAUUACCAAUAAAUUAGCAAUCUUGAGUACUA